UGAAGUAGCUUAAAUGGAAAUAAAAAAAUAAUAAUAAUAAAAAAAAUAAAAAAAAACUAUAAUCAUUUUUGGUAGACUUUAUGCACAGACAUGUUCUUGAUUCUCCAGGUCAGACAGGGGACAUAAAUCAUUCAACUGUGUUAGAUUAUGAUUAGAUCAACUGUACCUGCGGUGCGACAGGACCGGUUCUGGGCGUGGCUUAGACAAAGUGUCUCACCUCGUCUCCACGACAGAGACCCUGGAGAGUUUGGGAUGGACAGUCACAACAUGUCCACCGGCAAGGUCGCUGCUAUAAUCGGGCUGGGAGUAGGAGCGGUGGCGGUGCUGCACGGAGACCCGCUGGACUCUGAGGGCAGCGGGUACCUGACAUGGAGAGAGACCGGGCUACGCGGUGUUCCGGCUCGGGCUGCGGUCUGCAUCAUCGCCGGUGUCUCCCUCCUCGCGGCAGGCUGGCUGUACAGGCUGCUCUUCUGCCCCCUGGAGCUGCUGAGGGCACCCGAUGAUGUGGGUUACAUCGCCGAGGGCGGCCGCUCCAGAGCCCGGGCGGCUAACGAGGUCCGCCGCAGGAGGAAAACAGGAGAGCUGCCUCCGGUUUAUCCGAACGGCUGGUUCCGAGUCCUGGACUCACACCUGCUGGAGAGGGGCGAAGUCAGAAACGUCUCUGUGCUGGGUGAGCAGGUGGCAGUGUUUCGGGGCCAAGACGGGGAGGCCUACGUGGUUGAUGCCUACUGCCCUCACUUGGGUGCCAACCUGGCUGUGGGAGGACGUGUGGUGGGAAACUGCAUAGAGUGCCCCUUUCAUGGAUGGCAGUUUCGGGGUAACGAUGGCAAGUGUGUGAAGAUCCCCUAUGCAGAAAAAGUGCCAGAGUUUGCCAAGGUGCGCAGCUGGCCCAGCUGUGAGGUUAAUGGCCAGAUCCUGAUUUGGUUUCACUGUGAUGGAAAGGAUCCGCAUUGGACCGUCCCAGAACAACAGGAAAUUACAAAUGGCGAGUGGGUCUAUCGGGGGAGAACGGAACAUUUUGUCAACGCUCACAUACAGGAGAUUCCUGAAAAUGCAGCAGACAUCGCUCACCUCGCUCACCUGCACACGCCGAGCUUUGUCAGCGGUGUAGAUCUGCGUUACAUCAACAGCAAAACCUGGGAGUUUUUGAGGCAUGACUGGAAGGUUCAAUGGGAUCCAGAGCCAGAGCCGAACCAGCAUUGUUCUCAGAUGUUGGUGAAACAUGCGUUCACUGUGUUUGGACUCCACUUGCCUCUGCUGGAUGUUCACGUUGUGGCCAGACAGGUGGGUCCAGGAGUGGUGUUUCUGCUGUUCAACCACAGUUUCCUGGGCCGAGGUCUCAUCAUGCACUGUGUGACUCCAGUGGAGCCUCUUCUGCAGUGUGUCUCUCACAUCAUGUUUUACCAGUCGAACGUCCCACCUGUGGUGCCCAAAUUCAUCCUCAGAACCGAGUGUAUUCAGAGAGAGCCACCAGAGGAAACUCAGUUUUAGAGGACAGUUCAAGAGGCGGAGCUUGAGUAUGGGCUGAAAUGCCAAAUCUCAGCAGCUGAUGGAGAAGAAACUGUGGCGUGACAGUUAAUUAACAGCGUUUCACAAAGAAAUCCCUGCUGAGAGUUCGAGCGGGACGUGAUGAUCUGGAACAAUAAGAAGUACAUCUCCAGGCCUCUCCUCGUGAAGGAAGAUUCAGCCAUCCAGAAGCACCGGCGCUGGUUCAGUCAGUUCUACAGCGAGAACAGCCCCCGCCUACAAUACCA